UACGAAGGGGGCUAGCGUUGCUCGGAAUCACUGGGCGUAAAGCGCACGUAGGCGGAUCUUUAAGUCAGGGGUGAAAUCCUGGAGCUCAACUCCAGAACUGCCUUUGAUACUGGGGAUCUCGAGUCCGGAAGAGGUGAGUGGAACUCCGAGUGUAGAGGUGAAAUUCGUAGAUAUUCGGAAGAACACCGGUGGCGAAGGCGGCCAACUGGACCAUUACUGACGCUGAGGCGCGAAAGCGUGGGGAGCAAACAGG
rnacentral:rRNA from 1 species